UUAAAUUUGAAAAUAUGUCCUCUAGGUUGGAGCAGCUGCUUUGCGUUGAUGACUCGGUCAGACCUGGAUUAUUUUAUAUCUGCCUGUUGAAUUCUUACAUUUUGAGCGAAUUUUAGUUGAUAUGUCAAUGAAGAACAAAAGCUGGAAUGUGAACAGAGGAAGGGGUUGUUCGUGGUCUGUAAAUACUGGCGAUAUCAGAUCAAGCAUUGGAAUAAGAUUUUUAUCGGGGGAGGACACCCAACAGAAAGAUGUGAUGUGAAAGAAAUGAUUCACCAACUGGCGCACUGAAACGGGAGAUUCAUGUCACCUUCAUCAGUUCUUUCUUUAAUCACUGGACACCAUUAAGGGAAAGACCCUCAGAUAACAGGAUAAAUGGGGCUGCAGGUUUUGACAGAUUGGACUAGUUAACUUACUUCAACAACUUCUGGUUUGACAAGGAUCAAGAGACCAAGGACCAGGUGGUGAAGGCUGAACCAACAGACCAGACAGCUCUCCCACAGCCAGCCUCUGAACCUGCUCUACAGUCUGAAUAGCCCGGGUGAAGUUAAACUCUCCUUUGCUGGUGACCCAGAUGGCUGAGAACAUGUUAGGCUGGUACCCUGGAAGCUAAGAGGAAAGUGGCAAAGGAGCUCGCAGGCGAGACUGAUGAUUGCAGAGGAGCUGAAACCCACAGAGAACAUGGGUCUCAAUGAACACAAGAUCAAGGCCUGGUGAGAGCCACUACAGAGGAUCAUAGCCAUCAUUGGAAUUCUGAAAGGACGUGGGUGAAUAUCAAUCUGCCAAAUGAACAUUCACAUCUGUAUAUUAAUAAUGAUUAUAUAUGAACUUGUUUGUUUGUUACUGGAAAGAACUUAGCUUCUAUUGCUUUUGACUGAAGGACUUGACCGUGUUUUAAGCCUAUGUGCAUUUUCUAGAUGUUGAGCAUGAACAGUACUUUAAAACAAUGAUUUACUGGGUGACUUUUAUGGCGUUUUUCCAUUACCAGUAUCAGCUUUGGUCGUGCUCCAUUUUCCAUUGCAGAUCAUACCCAGAGAUAGUACCCCUCGAUGCAGAUGGUCGUCAUAGCAAGGCCACACACAACUGCCGCGACGUAAUGUUCAAUGCGACACACACACCUGCGACCCACAUACAGCUGUCUCUUGAUUUAAGUUAAAACCUUUCAGCAUUACUCAGAAUGUAAAGACAGGUACUUAAAGGUGCUCUAAGCGAUGCCGGGAGUCGUAACUUCUUGUUGACGUUCGAAUUAUUGUCAAACAAAACGGAGGCUAGCUAGAUCCUCCCUCCUCCUCCUCGCACUAAUCCCCCAAACCCCACCCCCAAAUCUUUCUUGGUACUUAUUGGCUGGAACAGUUUGUUAUGUUUCGUGGUGCGGGUGAGCCCAGUUUGUUUUUCUUGUUGUUUGUGGAGCCUGUGGUGUCUAGAAAGACCGCGUUUUUUUACAGUGUGUUCAGGGGACAGGCAGCUAGCGGAUAGUGAGGAGAUGUUUGCUGGAUGUGACAAAAAAUGUUUUGGCCUAAAAAACGUGUGACAUCACUUAGAGCACCUUUAAUUAAUAUAACAUUUAAUUUAACUAAAACAAAUAUAAAAAACAUGUCUAAGUCUUCAUCAACACGUCAUACUCCUGGAAAAGACCCACAUAAAGCUAAUAUUUUAAAAUGAUUAAUAUCCACAUCACUGCUGUAUUUUUCAGAUGUAAGAUCAAAUUUAGGGGAACAAGCCUGCAUCCCAAUGUGCACACUAUCCAUCCUAAAUAGUAUAUAAGAAAAUACAGUAUAUAUUUUUUGUACAAUAGUUGUUUUUACAGAACAUCUCUGCAGUGAAUGUUUUUGUUUAAAUAAUUCCAAGGAUAUGAAGUAGAUUAUUAUUUUAACGUUAUUGCAUUGCAUUUCUACGUAGGCCGAUUUUUGAUUCUUUUGACUUUUUUUAUUCCGAUGCGAGUGAUGUACCGUUUUUACACACUUAUCUCAUUAAAAGGGGAAAAGUCUGUCCAUCUUAAUUUCUGAAAAUGUGUAACAUUUGAGACCCCAGCUCGGUCACAUUCAUAUUUCAUUAAUGCUAAUUACAUAACUUGCAGUUCAGAAAGGAGUUACUGUGCAUUCACACCAGACGCGACUUGUGCGAAUAAAGGCCAAUUUAUACUUCUGCGUCGGGUGCGCGUAGUAGGUACGGCGUAGCAUACGCAUUGACGUGUACCAUACGUCGUACCCUUCACCAUACCCUGACGCACACCUCCUCAAAAAUGUAACUACCCGUCGCAAUGACGCGGACUGCAAGAUCUGUGAUUGGUCGGCUUGGUAGUAUCACGUUUCCUCCUACGCAUUACCGGAAUGAUCUUCCGCACUCUGGACCGCCCGCCAUUUUUAAAUUCCGAAAUUCAGUGAAGAGCCAACAUGGAAAUGGACCAAGUGACCGAGCGAUUAUUGAAAAAGUGAGGAAAUACAGCCAUCUGAAUGACUCUUCUUCGGGAGAUUACAAAGACUGCCAGAUGGCAGCGAAUUCAGUCGCCAUUGUUCGUAGAAGCCUGCAAGGAUCGAGUAAUGUAAACACAGUGGAACCCGCCUCUUGUCAACUAACGUUUCGGCGGUGUAACUGCAGAGCAAAACAGACAUAUGCAGAAGUAUAAAUGCUCACGACGGCGUCGCCUACGUGCGUAGCAUACGACAUACACUACGGCGCAUUAUGCGUCGGUGCGUAGCCAAAUGUGUCGUCCUAGUUUUUGAUACGCGACGCGCCGAUGCACGCAAUACUAUGCGUUGUCGGUGUGGGCGACAUUGCAAGUAUUGUACAUUAAUUCAAGUAUAUUAUGUUUACAGAAGAAGAAAGUUUGAAUACAAUGGCUGUUGAAGAGGAAAAAUUAUGCGAGCUUAUACGUAUAACAUACCACCGCCUAUCUCUGCGCUGCCUUUGUUGCCGCCGAUGUAAAAUCAGCAAUAAAAUGCACUCCUCUUCAGUUGUCAUUGUGAUCUGAAUAUCACAUGACCCGACUCUACUAAUAUCACCCGACUCUACUACCCCGUAGCGUGAGCGGUGUAUUGCAUACGCGCAUCGCCCGUGACACUUGCGUCCACUGUUUAGACUAUGAAAGGGAGCGAGUCGCUCGCAUUGCUUGCUCGCGUUGACUAUGUAACGGCCCUAUAUCGUGCUAUUCGCGCGUAGUUGGAUGCUUGAACAUUUUGAGUUUAGACACUUCAUUCGCGCGUGAAAUGAACUUCACAACAGAUGCGAAUUCACGUCAUGGGGGGGGCUUCUGCCGGUUGAGUUCACGCAGCAUUUUCAACCACCAUUUUAUUUGGAUAAUUUUCAAAAUAUUACUGUUAUCGUGUCAUGAAAUUUAGUUUUAAAAGUAUUUCA